rnacentral:rRNA from 1 species
GGGCGUUAAGUUGCAGGGUAUAGACCCGAAACCCGGUGAUCUAGCCAUGGGCAGGUUGAAGGUUGGGUAACACUAACUGGAGGACCGAACCGACUAAUGUUGAAAAAUUAGCGGAUGACCUGUGGCUGGGGGUGAAAGGCCAAUCAAACCGGGAGAUAGCUGGUUCUCCCCGAAAGCUAUUUAGGUAGCGCCUCGUGAAUUCAUCUCCGGGGGUAGAGCACUGUUUCGGCUAGGGGGCCAUCCCGGCUUACCAACCCGAUGCAAACUGCGAAUACCGGAGAAUGUUAUCACGGGAGACACACGGCGGGUGCUAACGUCCGUCGUGAAGAGGGAAACAACCCAGACCGCCAGCUAAGGUCCCAAAGUCAUGGUUAAGUGGGAAACGAUGUGGGAAGGCCCAGACAGCCAGGAUGUUGGCUUAGAAGCAGCCAUCAUUUAAAGAAAGCGUAAUAGCUCACUGGUCGAGUCGGCCUGCGCGGAAGAUGUAACGGGGCUAAACCAUGCACCGAAGCUGCGGCAGCGACACUGUGUGUUGUUGGGUAGGGGAGCGUUCUGUAAGCCUGUGAAGGUGUGCUGUGAGGCAUGCUGGAGGUAUCAGAAGUGCGAAUGCUGACAUAAGUAACGAUAAAGCGGGUGAAAAGCCCGCUCGCCGGAAGACCAAGGGUUCCUGUCCAACGUUAAUCGGGGCAGGGUGAGUCGACCCCUAAGGCGAGGCCGAAAGGCGUAGUCGAUGGGAAACGGGUUAAUAUUCCCGUACUUGGUGUUACUGCGAAGGGGGGACGGAGAAGGCUAUGUUGGCCGGGCGACGGUUGUCCCGGUUUAAGCGUGUAGGUGUGUGUUCCAGGUAAAUCCGGUUCACUUUAACACUGAGGCGUGAUGACGAGGCACUACGGUGCUGAAGCAACAAAUGCCCUGCUUCCAGGAAAAGCCUCUAAGCAUCAGGUAACAUCAAAUCGUACCCCAAACCGACACAGGUGGUCAGGUAGAGAAUACCAAGGCGCUUGAGAGAACUCGGGUGAAGGAACUAGGCAAAAUGGUGCCGUAACUUCGGGAGAAGGCACGCUGACACGUAGGUGAAGUGAUUUACUCACGGAGCUGAAGUCAGUCGAAGAUACCAGCUGGCUGCAACUGUUUAUUAAAAACACAGCACUGUGCAAACACGAAAGUGGACGUAUACGGUGUGACGCCUGCCCGGUGCCGGAAGGUUAAUUGAUGGGGUCAGCGCAAGCGAAGCUCCUGAUCGAAGCCCCGGUAAACGGCGGCCGUAACUAUAACGGUCCUAAGGUAGCGAAAUUCCUUGUCGGGUAAGUUCCGACCUGCACGAAUGGCGUAAUGAUGGCCAGGCUGUCUCCACCCGAGACUCAGUGAAAUUGAACUCGCUGUGAAGAUGCAGUGUACCCGCGGCAAGACGGAAAGACCCCGUGAACCUUUACUAUAGCUUGACACUGAACAUUGAGCCUUGAUGUGUAGGAUAGGUGGGAGGCUUUGAAGUGUGGACGCCAGUCUGCAUGGAGCCGACCUUGAAAUACCACCCUUUAAUGUUUGAUGUUCUAACGUGGACCCGUGAUCCGGGUUGCGGACAGUGUCUGGUGGGUAGUUUGACUGGGGCGGUCUCCUCCUAAAGAGUAACGGAGGAGCACGAAGGUUGGCUAAUCCUGGUCGGACAUCAGGAGGUUAGUGCAAUGGCAUAAGCCAGCUUGACUGCGAGCGUGACGGCGCGAGCAGGUGCGAAAGCAGGUCAUAGUGAUCCGGUGGUUCUGAAUGGAAGGGCCAUCGCUCAACGGAUAAAAGGUACUCCGGGGAUAACAGGCUGAUACCGCCCAAGAGUUCAUAUCGACGGCGGUGUUUGGCACCUCGAUGUCGGCUCAUCACAUCCUGGGGCUGAAGUAGGUCCCAAGGGUAUGGCUGUUCGCCAUUUAAAGUGGUACGCGAGCUGGGUUUAGAACGUCGUGAGACAGUUCGGUCCCUAUCUGCCGUGGGCGCUGGAGAACUGAGGGGGGCUGCUCCUAGUACGAGAGGACCGGAGUGGACGCAUCACUGGUGUUCGGGUUGUCAUGCCAAUGGCACUGCCCGGUAGCUAAAUGCGGAAGAGAUAAGUGCUGAAAGCAUCUAAGCACGAAACUUGCCCCGAGAUGAGUUCUCCCUGAGACUUUAAGUCUCCUGAAGGAACGUUGAAGACGACGACGUUGAUAGGCCGGGUGUGUAAGCGCAGCGAUGCGUUGAGCUAACCGGUACUAAUGAACCGUGAGGCUUAACCUUACAACGCCGAAG